UGAGUAAUGUCUAUGAAUCUGCCUCAUAGUGGGGGACAACGUUUCGAAAGGAACUCUAAUACCCCACACAUCCUACGGGAGAAAGCAGGGGACCUUCGGGCCUUGCUCUAUCAGAUAAGCCUAAGUCGGAUUAUCUAUGUUGGUGGGGUAAUGGCUCACCAAGGCCACCAUCCCUAACUGGUCUGAGAGGAUGAUCAGUCACACUGGAACUGAGACACGGUCCAGACUCCUACGGGAGGCAGCAGUGGGGAAUAUUGGACAAUGGGCGAAAGCCUGAUCCAGCCAUCCCGCGUGUGUAAAGAAGGUCUUCGGAUUGUAAAUCACUUUAAGUUGGGAGGAAGGGCAGUAAGCGAAUACCUUGCUGUUUUGACGUUACCGACAGAAUAAGCACCGGCUAACUCUGUGCCAGCAGCCGC
rnacentral:rRNA from 1 species